AUAAUUACCUGGUAGGGGAGACACCAUGAUCACGAAGGUGGUUUUCCCAGGGCGAGGCUUAUCCAUUGCACUCCGGAUGUGCUGACCUCUGCGAUUUCCCCAAAUGCGGGAAACAUAAUUUGUGGUAGUGGGGGACUGUGUUCCCACUCUCCCCUG
ensembl:snRNA U1 U1 spliceosomal RNA